rnacentral:rRNA from 1 species
UGAGGAAUUUUGCGCAAUGGGAGCAAUCCUGACGCAGCAACGCCGCGUGGGUGAUGAAGGCCUUAGGGUCGUAAAGCCCUGUCAGGUGGGAAGAAUGUCCCGGGACUGAACAGGUUCCGGGAGUGACGGUACCACCAGAGGAAGCACCGGCUAACUCCGUGCCAGCAGCCGCGUUAAUACGGAGGGUGCAAGCGUUAUUCGGAAUUACUGGGCGUAAAGCGCGUGUAGGCGGUCCUGCAAGUCUGAUGUGAAAGCCCCGGGCUGAACCCGGGAAGUGCAUUGGAAACUGUGGGACUUGAGUACUGGAGAGGAUGGGGGAAUUCCCGGUGUAGAGGUGAAAUUCGUAGAGAUCGGGAGGAAUAUCAGUGGCGAAGGCGCCCAUCUGGACGGUAACUGACGCUGAGACGCGAAAGCGUGUGAGCAAACA